AAUUUUAAAUAGAAAAAAGUCAGUCGAGAAAAUCUUUUGCUUUUCGACACAACCGCAUCCCCUUCUUCUCCCACGAUCUCAAAAUCGAUCUCCACUUCUCAACAAUGGAACUACAAAAAGGUUUCAGAUCUCUCAAAAUCAAUAUUCCUUUCAGAUUACUUCUCACCCUUAUUCCCCGAUUUCUGAGAUCAAAAACCAAUGAUUUCUCAAUUUCUCAAUCAAUUGAACGGUGUUAUUCAUUAGAACGGUGUAUUUCUCAAUUUCUCCAUAUCUCUACUGAGCCUCCGUCGUUUGAUUUGAAUCAAAGAUAUGCCACUCGACAUUACACCUAUUUCCCAAAUAACUUUAGGCACUGAUCCAUGUAAAAUCAAUGUUCGAAUUGUCCGUCUUUGGGGUUUUCCAAAAAAGGAUAAACUAGAAGAAUUUACAGGAAUUGAUCUUCUCCUUAUGGAUGAAAAGAAUGCUAUUGAACAAGAAAUAAUCACUGUCUCUGGAAAUUCAGUGGGACUUCAAUCGGGACCUCAACUCAGGCUGAAAUUAACUUUGUUGAUGUGGAAAAAUUAGACAACAAUGAAGACAACGCUUAUAACGUUUCCACUCCAAAGCCUACAACUAAAAGAUCCUUGGCAACAUCUAAAGAUGUUCAACAAUCAUCAACGAAGCCUAAGCUAAUGUCCAAGGCUCAGAUUAAGAAGGAAAAGUAAUGAUUGUACUUAAAACUAUUGUCUCUCUUAUUCUACUCUGCUAGGACUUAGGAUUUAGGAUUAUCAUUUUUUCUUAGGACUUAGGAUUUCAGAUGUUAGGACUUAGGAUUAUCACUUCUCAAUUUGCGUUUUUCUUUUUAGUUUUAAGCCAUGUUAACUUUCAAA